rnacentral:lncRNA from 1 species
CCCUGAAGAGCACAAAGACUUUUUCAAAUAAAAAUAUUGGUAUCCCUUCAAUCUGCUUUGUAAUCAUCAAAAUCAAUCUAGGAGCAACACAUAGCCUAUUAGCUAUCGAACCGUGUAGUUCUUCGCCUCUACAGGCUUCAUCAUCUCCUACAAUCAAAAAGGGAUCGACAUCGUCUCCAUCCAGAUCCAUAGGUAAGGGUUCCAAUGAUAUGUUGAAAUAUUUGUCAUUACCUUAGUUGC